rnacentral:rRNA from 1 species
GAAAGAUGGCUUUGGCUAUCACUCUGGGAUGGACCUGCGGUGCAUUAGCUAGUUGGUAAGGUAACGGCUUACCAAGGCGAUGAUGCAUAGCCGAGUUGAGAGACUGAUCGGCCACAAUGGAACUGAGACACGGUCCAUACUCCUACGGGAGGCAGCAGUAGGGAAUCUUCCACAAUGGGCGCAAGCCUGAUGGAGCAACACCGCGUGAGUGAAGAAGGGUUUCGGCUCGUAAAGCUCUGUUGUUGGAGAAGAACGUGCGUGAGAGUAACUGUUCACGCAGUGACGGUAUCCAACCAGAAAGUCACGGCUAACUACGUGCCAGCAGCCGCGGUAAUACGUAGGUGGCAAGCGUUAUCCGGAUUUAUUGGGCGUAAAGCGAGCGCAGGCGGUUGCUUAGGUCUGAUGUGAAAGCCUUCGGCUUAACCGAAGAAGUGCAUCGGAAACCGGGCGACUUGAGUGCAGAAGAGGACAGUGGAACUCCAUGUGUAGCGGUGGAAUGCGUAGAUAUAUGGAAGAACACCAGUGGCGAAGGCGGCUGUCUGGUCUGCAACUGACGCUGAGGCUCGAAAGCAUGGGUAGCGAACAGGAUUAGAUACCCUGGUAGUCCAUGCCGUAAACGAUGA